GAACCGCACAAACGUUAUUCGGGAAUCACUGGGGCUUAAAGGGUGCGUAGGCGGCGCUGUAAGUUGGAUGUGAAAUCCCACAGCUCAACUGUGGAACUGCGUUCAAUACUGCAGUGCUUGAGGGAGAUAGAGGAGAGCGGAACUACGGGUGGAGCGGAGAAAUGCGUUGAUGUCCGUAGGAACACCGGUGGCGAAAGCGGCUCUCUGGGUCUCUUCUGACGCUGAGGCACGAAAGCUAGGGUAGCGAACGGGAUUAGAUACCCCGGUAGUCCUAGCUGUAAACGAUGAGCACUGGGUUGGGGAGGUUCCCAUGCCUUCCUGGCCGAACUGAAAAAGUUAAGUGCUCCGCCUGGGGAGUAUGGUCGCAAAGGCUG
rnacentral:rRNA from 1 species